rnacentral:rRNA from 1 species
UAAGGAAUCUUGGGCAAUGGGCGAAAGCCUGACCCAGCCACGCCGCGUGAGUGAUGAAGGCCCUCGGGUUGUAAAGCUCUGUGGGGAAGGACGAAAAAGCCAGCUUCAAAUAGGGGCAGGCCUUGACGGUACUUCCUUAGCAAGCACCGGCUAACUCUGUGCCAGCAGCCGCGGUAAUACAGAGGGUGCAAACGUUGCUCGGAAUCACUGGGCGUAAAGCGCGUGUAGGCGGACAUGCAAGUCGGGCGUGAAAUCCCUGGGCUCAACCCAGGAACUGCGUUCGAAACUGCAUGUCUAGAGUGGCGGAGAGGGUAGCGGAAUUCCCGGUGUAGAGGUGAAAUUCGUAGAUAUCGGGAGGAACACCAGUGGCGAAGGCGGCUACCUGGACGCCAACUGACGCUGAGACGCGAAAGCGUGGGGAGCAAACAGGAUUAGAUACCCCUGUAGUCC